GAGGGUAUAGCCAGGUGGUAGGGUGCAUGCUUAGCAUGCAUGAGGUCCUGGGUUCAUUCCCCAGGACCUCCA
rnacentral:tRNA from 1 species